AAUCCAGUGCAAAGUUCAGGAAAUCUUAUGGCUUAAACCCUAGAAGCCAAUAAUCGCCGUUUCUUCUCUACAAUAGGGUGUUUCAUUUUUCUUUCGUUUCCUUCACAAAAUCUUUCGUUUUUUUUGUUUUUUCUGACGUUUUAAUUAUAUUAUGUUGUUAUAGAUUUGAAGAGGGCAAAUGACGAACUAUUUGCCAAAUCGUUGAAUGCUCAGAUUUUUUGUUUGGGUGAGAGAUGCCAUGGAAGAGAUGAUGAAGGUCUCAACUAUGAUUGGUGAGAUAGUAUUCCCCAGAUGGAAUGGAAGAAGUGUUAGAGGUGUCAACUAUUCAGUGUGUAAAGUUUCUAAUUCAGAUGUGUAAGAGCAAGAGCUUUUGAUGUACCAGCUGAACUGUAAUUCCUUAAUUUAUUUUCUUCAAUGUACAUAGUUGAUGGAUGCUUUUCUUUUGUAAUCAAUGAAUGUUCAAACAUUUGAUCUUGAGAUAUGGAAUAGUCGCACUCAGUUGCCAAUUACAUUA